rnacentral:rRNA from 1 species
GAAGUUGGAAUCGCUAGUAAUCGCGGAUCAGCAUGCCGCGGUGAAUACGUUCCCGGGCCUUGUACACACCGCCCGUCACACCAUGAGAGUCGGGAACACCCGAAGUCCGUAGCCUGACCGCAAGGGGGGCGCGGCCGAAGGUGGGUUCGAUAAUUGGGGUGAAGUCGUAACAAGGUAGC